rnacentral:piRNA from 1 species
UCUGUUGAUUUUCCUGUUGAGUUUCUACCU